rnacentral:misc_RNA from 1 species
GAUGAAGAACGCAGCGAAAUGCGAAACGUAAUGUGAAUUGCAGAAUUCAGUGAAUCAUCGAAUCUUUGAACGCAUAUUGCGCUCUCUGGUAUUCCGGAGAGCAUGCUUGUUUGAGUAUCAGUAAACACCUCAACUUCCAUAUCUUUUUUGAAAUGGGAGUUGGACUUGAGUGAUCCCAACGCUUUUCCUCACCGAAAAGUGGCGGGUUACUUGAAAUGCAGGUGCAGCUGGACUUUUCUCUGAGCUAUAAGCAUAUCUAUUUAGUCUGCCUAAAAAACAGAUUAUUACCUUUGCUGCAGCUAACAUAAAGGAGAUUAGUUCUUGUGCUGACUGAUGCAGGAUUCACAAAGACAGGCUUCGGCCGACUUUGUAAACUCGAUCUCAAAUCAAGUAAGACUACCCGCUGAACUUAAGCAUAUCAAUAAGCGGAGGA